rnacentral:tRNA from 1 species
GCCGGGGUGGUGAAAUCGGUAAACACAGGGGACUUAAAAUCCCCCGGGCGAAAGCCCUUGCGGGUUCAAGUCCCGCCCCCGGCA